UUGCCAGCCCGCUCAGCAACUCAAAGGAAGUUGACGGGGGCCCGCACAAGCGGUGGAGUAUGUGGUUUAAUUCGAUGCAACGCGAAGAACCUUACCUGGUCUUGACAUCCCGGAGACCCUUAGGAAACUAGGGGGUGCUUCCAUCUGGAAGAAUCUGGAGACAGGUGCUGCAUGGCUGUCGUCAGCUCGUGUCGUGAGAUGUUGGGUUAAGUCCCGCAACGAGCGCAACCCUUGCCUUUAGUUGCCAGCAGUUCGGCUGGGCACUCUAAAGGGACUGCCGGUGUUAAACCGGAGGAAGGUGGGGAUGACGUCAAGUCCUCAUGGCCUUUAUGACCAGGGCUACACACGUACUACAAUGGCCGAUACAAAGGGCAGCGACACUGCGAGGUGAAGCCAAUCCCGUAAAAUCGGUCUCAGUCCGGAUUGGAGUCUGCAACUCGACUCCAUGAAGUUGGAAUCGCUAGUAAUCGUGGAUCAGCAUGCCACGGUGAAUACGUUCCCGGGCCUU
rnacentral:rRNA from 1 species